rnacentral:tRNA from 1 species
GGCUCCAUCGUCUAACGGUUAGGACAGAGGCUUCUCAAGCCUUUAAUCGGAGUUCGAUUCUCCGUGGAGUCACCA